UUGCAUCCACUGAUAGACCUGAAGCAGGCAUCAUUGGCUUCUGGGUUUGCACAGAGAUGCUAAAAUGAGCUUCCUUGCGCUUUCUGACUGCUACAUUCUAUAGCAGCACGGAUUGAAUUGAGGAAUACAUGU